rnacentral:rRNA from 1 species
UACGUAGGGGGCGAGCGUUGUCCGGAAUUACUGGGCGUAAAGCGCGCGUAGGCGGGUUCUUGCAUCCACUGUGAAAGCCCUGGGCUCAACCCAGGGAGGCCGGUGGAGAUGGGGAGCCUGGAGGGCAGCAGAGGCAAGCGGAAGUCCCGAAGUAGUGGUGAAAUGCGUAGAGAUCGGGAGGAACACCCGAGGCGAAGGCGGUUUGCUGGGCUGUGCCUGACGCUGAGGCGCGAAAGCUAGGGGAGCGAACGGA